UGCCAGCCGCCGCGGUAAUACGAGGGGUGCAAGCGUUAAUCGGAAUUACUGGGCGUAAAGCGUUCGUAGGCGGUUGAAUAAGCAAGAUGUGAAAGCCCAGGGCUCAACCUUGGAACUGCAUUUUGAACUGUUCGACUAGAGUACUGUAGAGGGUGGUGGAAUUUCCAGUGUAGCGGUGAAAUGCGUAGAGAUUGGAAGGAACAUCAGUGGCGAAGGCGGCCACCUGGACAGAUACUGACGCUGAGGAACGAAAGCGUGGGGAGCGAACAGGAUUAGAUA
rnacentral:rRNA from 1 species